CAGUGACCAGGGCCAAACGUUCGAUUCCGUCGAAAUCGGCAUGCUCGAUGGCCAUAACACCGGCGUCGGCGAACAGUUGUUCGGGGUAGUUGUAGAUCAAUUGUCUGUAAGGAGAGAGAGGGUUCCAAUCAUGCUCAGUUUCCAGUUAAU